CCAGACUCCUACGGGAGGCAGCAGUGAGGAAUAUUGGUCAAUGGGCGCGAGCCUGAACCAGCCAAGUAGCGUGAAGGAUGACUGCCCUACGGGUUGUAAACUUCUUUUAUAAAGGAAUAAAGUGAGGCACGUGUGCCUUUUUGUAUGUACUUUAUGAAUAAGGAUCGGCUAACUCCGUGCCAGCAGCCGCGGUAAUACGGAGGAUCCGAGCGUUAUCCGGAUUUAUUGGGUUUAAAGGGUGCGUAGGCGGACUGUUAAGUCGGCGGUAAAAGCCCGGGGCUCAACCCCGGCGAGCCGUUGAAACUGGCUGUCUUGAGAUGUCGAGAGGUAUGCGGAAUGCGCAGUGUAGCGGUGAAAUGCAUAGAUAUCACGCAGAACUCCGAUUGCGAAGGCAGCAUACCGGCGCUCAACUGACGCUCAUGCACGAAAGUGUGGGUAUCGAACAGGAUUAGAUACCCCAGUAU
rnacentral:rRNA from 1 species